rnacentral:rRNA from 1 species
GACGAACGCUGGCGGCGUGCCUAAUACAUGCAAGUAGGACGCUGAAGAGAGGAGCUUGCUCUUCUUGGAUGAGUUGCGAACGGGUGAGUAACGCGUAGGUAACCUGCCUUGUAGCGGGGGAUAACUAUUGGAAACGAUAGCUAAUACCGCAUAACAAUGGAUGACACAUGUCAUUUAUUUGAAAGGGGCAAUUGCUCCACUACAAGAUGGACCUGCGUUGUAUUAGCUAGUAGGUGAGGUAACGGCUCACCUAGGCGACGAUACAUAGCCGACCUGAGAGGGUGAUCGGCCACACUGGGACUGAGACACGGCCCAGACUCCUACGGGAGGCAGCAGUAGGGAAUCUUCGGCAAUGGGGGCAACCCUGACCGAGCAACGCCGCGUGAGUGAAGAAGGUUUUCGGGUCGUAAAGCUCUGUUGUAAGUCAAGAACGGGUGUGAGAGUGGAAAGUUCACACUGUGACGGUAGCUUACCAGAAAGGGACGGCUAACUACGUG